CAGGCCAGUCAGUGUAAGGUCCUGCUUGUCAUCAAUGUGUAGGCUCAGGCCCACUGGCAAGGCCAGAUGACAGGGUGUAAAUUUUCCUCGAGACAAGUUCCUCUUCUGGCUGGCUCUGUGUCCCCAGCCUUUCCUUCUCCCAGUGUGAGAUUCCUGGGGAUAUUUCUGUUUCUUGAGAUCCAUUGUUUCAAGAGUCUGAUAGUCGAGGGAGAGGCUCACAUAUCUGUUCAAACUGUUUUCCUUCCUGCCCAGACGGUUGCAUUUCCCCACUCAGAAGUUGAGGAAGCAUCAUGAGAAGUGAACUGAAGAAGUGAGAUGGCGUUGGAAACACUGCUCAGGAGCUUUGUAUUAUUUCAGCCCCAGAAGGAGCAUGGAGUAAACCAAUGGCAGGAAACGGAUGGAUGAGGUGUUGGCUCAGUGGUUAAGAGUACCCGCUGCUCUUGCAGAGGACCUGGGUUCGAUUCCCAGCUCAUCACCCUCUGGAAUCUGCCACCUUCUUCUGAUCUCCGUUAGCAUCAGGCACACAUGUGCUGGACAGACAUUCAGACAGGUAAAAUAUCCAUACACAGAAAAAUAAAAUGAAGGAGGAGAAAGAAAGGAAGGAAAGAUGCUAGGCAGCGGUGGUGCAGGCCUUUAAUCCCAGCAUUUGGGAGGCAGAGGCAGGUGGAUCUCUGUGAGUUUGAGGCCAGCCUGGUCUACAGGGUGAGUUCCAGGAUAGUCAGAGUUGUUACACAGAGAAACCCUGUCUAGAAAAAAAAAAAAAGAA